UACGUAGGGGGCAAGCGUUACCCGGAUUUACUGGGCGUAAAGCGCGUGUAGGCGGCUGGCCAAGCGUGGUGUGAAAUCCCCGGGCUUAACCUGGGAAUGGCAUUGGUGACUGCACGGCUAGAGUGUGUCAGAGGGGGGUAGAAUUCCACGUGUAGCAGUGAAAUGCGUAGAGAUGUGGAGGAAUACCGAUGGCGAAGGCAGCCCCCUGGGAUAACACUGACGCUCAUGCACGAAAGCGUGGGGAGCAAACAGG
rnacentral:rRNA from 1 species